AUUGAUAAUUACACAAUGGUUUGAACAAUAACGUUGUAUAUCUGUUAUAUCAUUUGUUAUAGGAUUUAAAAGGAAUUUAUUGGUGAAUAAACAAGACCAAUUCACUCACUCACAAACAGAAGUCCUUGGACUUUUAUACUAUGCAUAUUGGUGAUUUGGUCCAAUUAUACACCUGCAUAUUAGUUUUACUCUGUAACAAAACACCACAAAUAUUUCUGAAAAAAGAACACAAAGGACACGGAAAGAUAUGAUCUUCAAGGUAUUUGUUGUUGGAACACUUUGUCCUGACAAAGUAAUAUUUAUUAUUACACGGACUAUUGCGAUUGCGUGAGUGUAACAAUAAUAAAAACAAUAAUUCUGAAAUCUGAAACAAAUACAUGAAUGGUAUAUUAAACAGAUUCUUCCUGAUAUUGCAAUUAUCAGUUUCAGGUUUAUUGUCGAAUCAUAAAUAAUCAUGAUCAAUGCACACAAUGACAUUUUUCAUAUCAGACUUCUUAUCAGCCCAUGGUCAAAAUCAUCCCUCGAGUCUGUCGGAUAUCGGGCUGAUAUCAUGACCUAGGGCUGAUAAGGGGUCUGAUAUGAAAAAUGCCAUGUUAUAAUCUAUACACAUCACCCGAUAGAACAGAUAUAAUGAAGCUUCUAAAACACUGGGAGGAUAACGGUUGAAUAGAUGAGCACAUUUAGUUUAUUUUAUAUUUUAGAUUCUUUUUUGAUGUCUUCAAUCGCUUUUUCAAAAGCGCAACAUUUACAUAUUUUCUGCUAGAAAAAUUAACUGCAUUCAUCAUUUGUUCAUCAGAAAUACUUAACUCGAAAACAUAUCAAAGUACUAAAAAUAAAAGAAAAACAUAUACAAGACUAUCAAAGGCCAGAGGCUUAUGGUUUGCGACAGGCGUAAACAUGCGGCAGUGUCAAACAUGCUAAACAUUUUUUUGGUCGGGUUGUUGUCUCUUUGACACAUUACUCAUUUCCAUUCUCAGUUUUAAUGUAAACACAAUUCUCCUAAACUGAUGACAAACUUUUGUUUACAACACUGUUUAUCUAAAUUACCAAGGUUUUAUGUUAUAUAUAAUGUCAUGAUGGGCAGUUUUCGAAUGGGAUGACGAUAAAGAGAUAUCGGGCGGUUUUUAAAUUUUGCUUAGAGGAAUAAGAUAUCAUGCACUCUUUUAGUGAAAAUCUUAGAUAUUUAUAUAUAUGGUAGUAUUGAAUGGUAGGCAAAUUAAAAAAAAAAGUAAGUUUGCUAGUAUCGUAAUUAAAGAGAUUGAAUAAGCUGUUUAUAAUUACAAAGACAAUACCGGCUCUGACCUUGUUGUUUGCCCGACAAAGAAUAUAUAUUUUUUUCUUUUCUUUUAUAUCAUAGAUCAGAAAAUGACAGAACACCGUUGAAACCAAUAAACUAUAUAUUUGAAUGGAAAGACACAAGAACAUAAAAUCAACAGUUUACGCAUUAAAAUACCAACCAAUGUCGACAAAAACUUUCAUCGAUCAUGAGCAG
rnacentral:lncRNA from 1 species